UUUGUUCUGUGAUAAUAUUAGUAAUUGGAGAAGGUAAUUAAUCAGUCAAAAGAAUCUAAGCUUCAAGAAAAGAACCCAGAAAACAAGUCAUUGAAGGAAGAGAAGGAAAUUAGGAAGAACCUGCAAUAUGAAGAGAGGGUAAGUUCAGAUAAGCUGCAACGUUAGAAAUGCUCUCCCGAUGAUCUGAAGACUUUGGAGAGGCUCUCUCACGGUCUCAACCCUUUAUUCAUUUGUGUCCGAGAAGAUUGCUUUGCCAUCGAUUAUUAAUCUGUUAACCCUCCAUUUUUUAGAACUCAUUUCCGCCAUUUGAGAAAGAUUAAACCAGGUAAGUACACACCUACAAUUAGCUUACUACUUAGGAAGCUUCAACCAUGAAAGAUUCUCAUCUCAUGAUCUUAAUCAAGACUUCACCAUUAACGACCAUUAACCACCAUUGCUCUAUUUCCAAUCCCAUGUAAGUAACGAACUCUGCAAUUAUCACCAUCCGUUAUUUGCUUCAAUUGGAAUUAGAAAUGGGCAAAAAAUAGUUGGUUAAUGUACUUGUGGUUUUCCCGCUCCAAUGAAGGAGAUUCACUACUCUUCCACCACCAUCCCUUCUCCCACUACUUCUAAGGUCCAGAGGACUCUAGGAUUCGCUCCAAUCUCUCUGAGAAUCGAGCUCUCAUUGGGGAAUCCAGUGCUAUUCCCGCCUUGAUUCCUCUCGACAAAGACAAAAAAACCCUGAUCACGGAUGCCGGAGCAAUAAAACCUCUCAUUUACGUUCUUAAAUCCCCGCACCAAGGCUUCGAAGCAGUCGAAGCAGAACGCUCCUGAACGGGUAUGGUGGUUUUGAGCAGCUUGGCCGCUAUUGUCGAAGAAGACGAAAUUACUGUUCUGAAGAAAGAAAAAAUUACAGCCCCUAAAAAGGGGAGGGGGAAGAAAGCAGAACUAUCUCAGAAGAAGUUACUAUUCUUGAUGAUGGAGCUAGGGGGCUCCAAAAAUUUACAAUAUGACAAUUUAUAGGGGAGGGAUUACAAGUGGAAGAAUUCCAAGAGAUUUUUGCUUUGACAUAAAAGAAGCUGGAUUGGCGAAAGGGAAGAAGUUCUCUGUUUUAACGCUUCUGCAACUCAAAUGCUCGGGCUUAGCUCAAGUGUCACUUGUAGGCUGAAACAUUACGUGUGUAUCUCAUAGAAUUAAGGCAAGAGGCAUCCUCUUCUAGCCCAUGAGAGGUAAUGAAAUUCACAAUCAGUACUGGGUUCCUGUCUUCUUGAAUUAUUGCAUAGCUUAGUGUUCUAAUUUUUUGUACACCAUGUAAACUAGAUUUUGAUUGUGUGAUUCACGGAAGCUAUGGGGAUUUGGGUUAUGAUCCUGGGUCUUGUCUGGGCAAUCCAAAUUUCUACUAAAACAGAAUUAGAGUUUUGAUCGAUCGAGGACUUAUGGGAGGGUAUGUUGCUGUAAUGAUCAAUCUUACAGAUGGUGUUCUAGUGGCAUACUGUAUUAGGGAAGUACUGAGUGAGAAAUAGAAGGGCUUGAGUUAUAUUUUUUAGUGACUGCAACUGUGCCUGUAAGAUGUGUUUGGGCUGUGAUGAAAUCAUGUAAAGAAUUAGUAACAGAGCAAUGAAACUUCUUGUGUCAUUUUUGUA